GCUUGUCUCAAAGAUUAAGCCAUGCAUGUCUAAGUAUAAGCCUUUACACGGUGAGACUGCGAAUGGCUCAUUAAAUCAGAAACUGUUUAUUUGAUAGUGCCUACUACUUGGAUAACCGUAGUAAUUCUAGAGCUAAUACAUGCAAAAAGCCUGGACUUCUGGAACAGGCGUAUUUAUUAGAUCCAACCAGCCCGGUUCGCCGGAGUCCCUGGUGAGUCAUAAUAACUGAGCGAAUCGCAUGGCCUUGCGCCGGCGAUGGUUCAUUCAAGUUUCUGCCCUAUCAGCUUUCGAUGGUAGGGUAUUGGCCUACCAUGGCGUUAACGGGUAACGGAGAAUUAGGGUUCGAUUCCGGAGAGGGAGCCUGAGAAACGGCUACCACAUCCAAGGAAGGCAGCAGG
rnacentral:rRNA from 1 species